UAUCGAUAGGUCUUCAAUAAUCCUAACCUUCCUUUAUCCGAAAAGUUUUCUACGAGUUUCGAUCUACCGCGAGAUGGCACCACCGCGUUAACGGAUAUACUCGUACAUAUGCAUUCUCUAUCUUAAAUUAUCCUCUUUAUCGAACAGAUUCUUCGUUCCGUCUUAUUAAAAUAUCAUCGCACAGCGAAUACGAUUUUGCGAAUAUAAUAUUUCAAUUUCUUUAGUUCGGUAUACAAUGCGCCCCCAGCGUCUAAAGUCGAACGCGAAGAAACUCACGCGGCCUCCAUUGGCGAGAUUCAUUCUCCAAUGAGACGCCGGCGUUAAACGUGCUCCGUCGCUAACGGAAAUAAUCAAAGUGUAGCUACGACACGAUAAACGGGUAGGGAACUCCGACGGGAUAUUAUGGAAGGGGAUUCGCUGACUUCCUCGUAGCUUCCUCGUAAUCGUUAUCGUGAUUGUCGCCGAGUUAACCCCAGCCGAUCGUUGACACUCGACGAGAAUAAAACCGCGGGCAAACCGCUUUCAGAAGCAAACCGACGGAACAAAAAUUAUCGAUCGUGCUACGCACACGGUUAAAAUAUUAGAUGUACACUCGUAUUUGCUUGUCGCCUUUACAUUGACCGCUAGCAACCUCGAGUAUCGCAGCAAGUGCAUUCGAUAGCUGUUCGUCCGGAUUGCGUAAUCACUACUUUCUUCCCCUUCCUUCUUACCUUUAACUAUUCCCGUCAUAUUCGACCAUAUUUAUUGCAAAAUCUCUUUCUAUAAGCGCAAAAUAAUCCGAAUCCAUCGUAGAUUUUGACAAGUUUUCCUUUCUUCAUGAAAUAUCGCAACUCGGACUCAGCCCUGACGCAGCCCUGACGCAGCCCUGACGCAGCCCUGACGCAGCCCUGACGCAACCCUGACACGUGCGGCACUUUUAAUUCGGACCGUCCUACUUAAAUGAUGGACCCAUUAAAAGUCGAUCGAUCGAUCGAUAUUUACGAUAUUGAAAAAAUAACCAAUUGUAUUUAAAAGCGAUACUGUUUCCUGGAAGAAAGAAGAAAAAGGAAAAAAGGAAAAAAGAAAAGAAAAGAAAAGAAAAGAAAAAAAAGCGCACCAAACACCAUGACCAGCACCGUCGGUCACAAGCACCACAGGAAUCGGUGGUACUCAUAAGCCAGCCAGGGCAGAACAUAACAGGUAAAACAGGUUUGUGGGCGUCCUGAGAGAGCUACCUGUACCGCUUCUUCUGGGCCCUUCCGAUCCUCUGAGCCUCUCUCCUCCUCAACUUCGGCCUCUCCUUUUGAUAGAGGAACCCUCGCUCCUACGGAAGGGUCUUCGAAAAAGAUCAGAAAAAAAGGUCAUGCGGUGGGAGAAGGGAGAGAAGCAGGAAAGGGAAACGGACCACGUCUACCGUGAGCGCUCUUAUGCAUACACGUUCACCUGCGCGAGAGCGCGCGUAACAUAAUACGAUGAGGAUCCCAUCGUGCAAAUGCCAAAAGAAUUUCGUUACUCGAGAGUAUGCGCGCUGCUGUCCAGGGACGCCUUGGGAUUUGAACCUUCUCCCGCUAUAGAAGCGGUUCGACACACUUCCUUCCCUUCCGAUAAUGACGAUUUAGAUGUUUUCAACGAUUCGAACCGAUGGAGCUUCGCCUUCUUCUAAUCGUUCUCACCUUUAAUCGGACAUAAUUAGAGCAGGUAGCGCGCUUUCAAUUCGCCUUUGAGAUAGCGCGGAAGAGCGAAGAAGCUUGGAACUUUUGAGAAGUUAGUAGAGAGGGUCCUCCUUUCUUUGACUGAUCGCACGUAAAUUUUGAAAGAAUCCACGGUUCCAUUGUGGAUCAUCGGUCGUGCGAGAAAAGAAAUUUUCCUUCGGCGAGCCGACCAUAAGAUCUUCCCACAUACCUGCGUCGUGAUUAAUGUCACGCCUGUACGAGACAUUUUUCAAGUUAUAUCUUUUUAUACGAAAAUACAUAUUUAAUGUAUUACGUCGGUUAACAUUAUCGUUCGUCGUAAGCUACACAGUGUUAAAGUCUAGACGAAACAGCCGGAUGGAUCAAAGUGACCUAUGGCCGUCAUGUUGUGUGUACAUAUGUAGCUGAAUCGAGUGAUCGAUUGAAAUCCCGUUGGCGUAUCUUAUUCUUUCAUUACUCGAUGGCACUGUGUAAUCGACGCAUAUCGCAUUUACGAUAGAGCAUCGAACGCUGUAAGCGAAGUGGUUUAGUAAUCCGGCAGCGGCACUUGCGCAAUCCAGGAAUUUCUCAUGCGAGGCGAAGGAAGGAAAUUGCGUUGCCCAAUUAGAAAUCGCGGGAGACCGCAGAAGGUGGAAAGGAACGAGAUAAAGGAAAGAAAAGGAGAUAAAAAUAGGGAGAGGGAGACGAAAGGAUGAUCGUAAGAAAGAAGAAAGAAGCACUGGAAUGAAGGAGGACGAGCGGUCGAAGAAGAAAGAAAAGGGUAGGAGGGCAAACGACGGAGAGGAGAAGAGAGCUCCACUCGUCAUCCCGGAUGUGCAACAUCUUUACAUGCUAUUCUUCGAUGCAGUUACCUACCAACACGAUUGUUCUCUUUUUCGCCUAUUAACGAGUCUUCAGCUAUACUUGUCUACUGCAUAGAUGUAUGUAUACUCGUAUGUAAUAAAUACGACAUAUAUCCAACGCGUCUAUGGCACGCACGCACGCACGCAAUGAAUAAUAAUAAUCAUGAAAUAAUAAGAUAUUAGAAGAAAUAUUCGACCGAUUGAAUUUGGACGCGAGUAUGAUUCCGUUAUUGCAUUAUUAUUAAACGAAUAAUAGCAAUCGUUGGCCUAUUCGACUGAGAAUCCGACCGAGCGAGUAUUCGUUGCUUUGGAGAAAGUGUCUCUUGUACGAUGCCUUAAGGCGCAUUUCACAUGCGCUUUAAGAGCCCCGGCAAAGAGCGAGUUCCGACUCGCGGGCCGUGUGUUAACGCACGCUCGGCUUAUGUAAUCGGUUACGGUAAUAGCGUAGUUAUAGCAAUCCGGGAGCAACCAACGGGUAACACAAUUCCUUGUUAAUACGCUAACGAAUAUACUAGCUCCAACAAUAUACAUUGCUAUCGUCAAUUUUCAUAUGAGAUUCGUCUUUACAAAAUACAAAAACUAGAAAAUACGAGUUAUAAGGCAUCUGUCCGCGAGGACUUUACCUCGACGACUUCACUUAUCCCCCAAACGAUAUAAACUUUCCAUUUCUUUAUGAA